CUUACAAGCAGUCGGAGGGCCAUGUUUGGACUUCGGUCCAUUCAAGCCUGACGGCGUGCCUCUUGCUUAAUGAGCCGGCUAGUUAUUCUUACGUGCAAGGUUAAGCGCAAGCGAGCCGUAGCGAAAGCGAGUCCGAAUAGGGCGACAAGUACGUAGGAAUAGACGCGAAGCGGGAUGAUCUACCCUUGGCCAGGUUGAAGGCCGCUUAACCGCGGCUGGAGGACCGAACCGGUGUGAGUUGAAAAUCGCUCGGAUGAGCUGAGGG
rnacentral:rRNA from 1 species